rnacentral:rRNA from 1 species
UACGUAGGGAGCAAGCGUUGUCCGGAAUCAUUGGGCGUAAAGCGCGCGUAGGCGGCCCCGUAAGUCCGCUGUGAAAGUCAAAGGCUCAACCUUUGAAAGCCGGUGGAUACUGUGGGGCUAGAGUCCGGAAGAGGCGAGUGGAAUUCCUGGUGUAGCGGUGGAAUGCGCAGAUAUCAGGAGGAACACCAAUAGCGAAGGCAGCUCGCUGGGACGGUACUGACGCUAAGGCGCGAAAGCCAGGGGAGCGAACGGG